rnacentral:lncRNA from 1 species
AGUCCAGUGACCAGUACCGCCGCUCCUGAUGGUGGGGAGCAUAUGGUACUGCUGUGAAUAGUUUUGCUCUCACUGCUGUGAAAUCCCACGCCUUCCUACAGAAUGUGUUUGGAGGAGCAAAUGGUUUCAACACACAUGGGAACAAGAUAUAUUCAUGGAAUGUGCCUUUGAACCUGCAUUCAAAAGAACUCAGACAGAGUAGGAGAAUGGACCAGAUGACCUCUAUAGGUGUCUCUCCACAGGCAGAAAAAUCAAACGCCCAGAGAGGUCAAGAUGUCUGCAAAGAGACACAGAGUGAUGCAAUGGAAAUCCUGUGUGGAGGUCUCCAGAAGGCUAAUUUCUGAAGCAGUGUUCUAUCCACAUGACCGUGCUGCUGCUCAUUAAGAUGAACAAUGGAAAGUAGAAAGAAAUCUCCUCCAAGGUAUUAGAAUCAUGUACAGUUUCAUAUUUGACUAAAAAAUUAUUUCCCCAGCCUGUUUUCUCAACACUAAGGAUAUGCAGAAAAGUAUCACUUGCAUUCAUCAUGAAAAUUACAGAAAAAUGACUGAAACUACUGAGAACAUUAUUAAAUAAAACAUAUACUUAUUAUCUGU